rnacentral:rRNA from 1 species
GACGAACGCUGGCGGCGUGCUUAACACAUGCAAGUCGAACGGAAAGGCCCUGCUUGCCGGGUACUCGAGUGGCGAACGGGUGAGUAACACGUGGGUGAUCUGCCCUGCACUUCGGGAUAAGCCUGGGAAACUGGGUCUAAUACCGGAUAGGAGCCAUUUUUAGUGUGAUGGUUGGAAAGUUUUUUCGGUGUAGGAUGAGCGCGCGGCCUAUCAGCUUGUUGGUGGGGUAAUGGCCUACCAAGGCGGCGAGGGGUAGCCGGCCUGAGAGGGUGGACGGCCACAUUGGGACUGGGAUACGGCCCAGACUCCAACGGGAGGCAGCAGGGGGAAAUAUGACAGAAUGGGGCCAAGCCUGAGGCGACGACGCCGGGUGGGGGAUGACGGCCUUCGGGUGAAAAACCUCUUUCGAAGGGGCCGAAGCUUUUUGGGCGGUUACCAAUAAAAAAACCACGGCUUAAUACGUG